rnacentral:rRNA from 1 species
GGUUAAGUUAACAAGGGCGCAUGGUGAAUGCCUUGGCACUAGGAGCCGAUGAAGGACGGGACUAACACCGAUAUGCUUCGGGGAGCUGUACGUAAGCUAUGAUCCGGAGAUUUCCGAAUGGGGCAACCCAGCAGUUUUAAUCAACUGUUACCACUAGAUGAAUUCAUAGUCUAGUUGGAGGUAAACGCUGUGAACUGAAACAUCUCAUUAGCAGCAGGAAUAUAAAGAAAUUUCGAUUCCCUAAGUAGCGGCGAGCGAACGGGGAACAGCCCAAACCAAAGUGCUUGCACUUUGGGGUUGUAGGACUGAACAUUUGAGUUACCAAAGAACUUGAUAGUCGAAGGAUUUGGGAAAAUCCGCCAUAGAUGGUGAUAGCCCAGUAGAUUAAAUCAAAUUCUCUCAGUUCAGGAUCCUGAGUACGGCGGAACACGUGAAAUUCCGUCGGAAUCCGGGAGGACCAUCUCCCAAGGCUAAAUACUACCUAGUGACCGAUAGUGAACCAGUACCGUGAGGGAAAGGUGAAAAGCACCCCGGGAGGGGAGUGAAAUAGUUCCUGAAACCAUGUGCCUACAAUAAGUCAGAGCGCGUUAAUGCGUGAUGGCGUGCCUUUUGUAGAAUGAACCGGCGAGUUAUGAUCCCGUGCAAGGUUAAGACUAAAAAGUCGGAGCCGUAGCGAAAGCGAGUCUGAAAUGGGCGUUUUGAGUACGAGGUUAUAGACCCGAAACCAGGUGACCUAUCCAUGUCCAGGUUGAAGGUGCGGUAAAACGCACUGGAGGACCGAACCCGUGUAAGUUGAAAAUUGCUGGGAUGAGGUGUGGAUAGCAGUGAAAUUCCAAACGAACUUGGAGAUAGCUGGUUCUCUCCGAAAUAGCUUUAGGGCUAGCCUCGGAAUUAGGAUCAUGGAGGUAGAGCACUAUUUGGACUAGGGGCCCGUCUUGGGUUACUGAAUUCAGAUAAACUCCGAAUGCCAUUGAUUCAUAUCCGGGAGUCAGACGAUGAGUGAUAAGAUCCACCGUCGAAAGGGGAACAGCCCAGACCAUCAGUUAAGGUCCCUAAAUGUAUGCUAAGUGGAAAAGGAUGUGGAGUUGCAUAGACAACUAGGAUGUUGGCUCAGAAGCAGCCACCAUUUAAAGAGUGCGUAAUAGCUCACUAGUCGAGUGAUCCUGCGCCGAAAAUGUACCGGGGCUAAGCAUACUACCGAAACCAUGGAUGCGACCAUUAGGUCGCGUGAUAGGAGAGCGUUCUAAGGGCGGUGAAGCAAGAUCGUGAGGACUUGUGGAGCGCUUAGAAGUGAGAAUGCCGGUAUGAGUAGCGAAAGAUAGGUGAGAAUCCUAUCCACCGAAUGACUAAGGUUUCCUGGGGAAGGCUCGUCCUCCCAGGGUUAGUCGGGACCUAAGUCGAGGCCGAGAGGCGUAGACGAUGGAUAACAGGUUGAGAUUCCUGUACUAGUUAAGUACGUUUGAGCAAUGGAGGGACGCAGGAGGCUAAGAUGUGCAUUCUGUUGGAUUAGAAUGUCCAAGCAGUAAGUCUUGUGAAGAGUCAAAUGCUUUUCACUUUAAGGACAAGCUGUGAUGGGGAGCGAAAUUUAGUAGCGAAGCGUCUGAUGUCACACUGCCGAGAAAAGCUUCUAGUGAGUACUUAACUACCCGUACCGCAAACCGACACAGGUAGUCGAGGAGAGAAUCCUAAGGUGAGCGAGUGAACUCUCGUUAAGGAACUCGGCAAAAUGACCCCGUAACUUCGGGAGAAGGGGUGCUGAUCGCAAGAUCAGCCGCAGUGAAUAGGCCCAGGCGACUGUUUAUCAAAAACACAGGUCUCUGCAAAAUCGUAAGAUGACGUAUAGGGGCUGACGCCUGCCCGGUGCUGGAAGGUUAAAAGGAUGGGUUAGCUUCGGCGAAGCUCAGAAUUGAAGCCCCAGUAAACGGCGGCCGUAACUAUAACGGUCCUAAGGUAGCGAAAUUCCUUGUCGGGUAAGUUCCGACCCGCACGAAAGGCGUAACGAUCUGGGCACUGUCUCAACGAGAGACUCGGUGAAAUUAUAUUGUCCGUGAAGAUGCGGACUACCCGCGACAGGACGGAAAGACCCCAUGGAGCUUUACUGUAGCUUGAUAUUGAGUGUUUGUACAGCUUGUACAGGAUAGGUAGGAGCCAUAGAAACCGGAACGCUAGUUUCGGUGGAGGCGUUGGUGGGAUACUACCCUCGCUGUAUGACCACUCUAACCCGCACCACUAAUCGUGGUGGGAGACAGUGUCAGGUGGGCAGUUUGACUGGGGCGGUCGCCUCCUAAAAAGUAACGGAGGCGCCCAAAGGUUCCCUCAGAAUGGUUGGAAAUCAUUCGCAGAGUGUAAAGGCACAAGGGAGCUUGACUGCGAGACAGACAGGUCGAGCAGGGACGAAAGUCGGGCUUAGUGAUCCGGUGGUACCGUAUGGAAGGGCCAUCGCUCAACGGAUAAAAGCUACCCUGGGGAUAACAGGCUUAUCUCCCCCAAGAGUCCACAUCGACGGGGAGGUUUGGCACCUCGAUGUCGGCUCAUCGCAUCCUGGGGCUGUAGUCGGUCCCAAGGGUUGGGCUGUUCGCCCAUUAAAGCGGUACGCGAGCUGGGUUCAGAACGUCGUGAGACAGUUCGGUCCCUAUCCGUCGCGGGCGUAGGAAAUUUGAGAGGACCUGUCCUUAGUACGAGAGGACCGGGAUGGACAUACCUCUGGUGUACCAGUUGUGCCGCCAGGCGCAUCGCUGGGUAGCUACGUAUGGAUGUGAUAAACGCUGAAAGCAUCUAAGUGUGAAACACACCUCGAGAUGAGAUUUCCCAUUCCUUUAUGGAAGUAAGACCCCUGAAAGAUGAUCAGGUAGAUAGGUUAGAAGUGGCAGUGCGGUGACGCAUGAAGCGGACUAAUACUAAUCGGUCGAGGACUUAACCAA